rnacentral:lncRNA from 1 species
GAGAAGUAAUCCAGAAAUUUUCUUGAGAAAAUGAAUCUAAACAGAAAAGGACCUUUUUACAUGUCCAAAUUUAUACAAAUUACUUUUUCAAUGUGCAAAAAUUACCAACUUAAGGAUUAACAUGUACUAUUAUUAAAGUCAUACAUGAGUGAUGGUCUGAAGAGGCACAUAUUUAAGGGCUGUCUGCAACAAGCAAACAUCUGGUAAAGUUUCUCUUUCUUGAAAUAUAGGUACCAAAAAUCUGUAAGCGACCUGAGGUUUUGCUGCAGCCCUGGGAGGUCACUUAUUCACUGGACAAAUAUAUAUGAAGUGCCUACAACCAUGUAUAGAACAUGGUCACUUGUGUCAUAAGAGUGAUUAAAAAAAACAAAAUCUAACAACACAUACACAGGAGGUUUAUUUGUUUUGUGUUAUGUGUAACCUUUUCACAUUCUUUGAAAAUUGUUAACCUGAUUAUUAACUCUUAUGUAUAAUUUCA